GACGAACGCUGGCGGCGUGCUUAACACAUGCAAGUCGAGCGGUAAGGCCCUUCGGGGUACACGAGCGGCGAACGGGUGAGUAACACGUGGGUGACCUGCCCUCCACUUCGGGAUAAGCCUGGGAAACCGGGUCUAAUACCGGAUAGGACCUCCGCACGCAUGUGCGGUGGUGGAAAGUUUUUCGGUGGAGGAUGGGCCCGCGGUCUAUCAGCUUGUUGGUGGGGUGAUGGCCUACCAAGGCGACGACGGAUAGCCGGCCUGAGAGGGUGAUCGGCCACACUGGGACUGAGACACGGCCCAGACUCCUACGGGAGGCAGCAGUGGGGAAUCUUGCGCAAUGGGCGAAAGCCUGACGCAGCAACGCCGCGUGGGGGGUGACGGCCUUCGGGUUGUAAACCUCUUUCGCGAUCGACGAAGCUCGUACUUCUGGUACGGGUGACGGUAGGUCGAGAAGAAGCACCGGCCAACUACGUGCCAGCCGCCGCCGUAA
rnacentral:rRNA from 1 species